UUACGGCCAUAUCACGUUGAAACACAGAUUCCCGUAUGAUCACCGAAGUUAAGCAAUGUGGCGCCUGAUCAAUAUCUAGGCGAGUAACCGCUCGGAAAUAUCAGAUGCUGUAAG